GGGCGGGACUUCCGGCCUCUUCCUAGCGACGGCCGUUUUAAUUGUCCGGGUCUGUUUUGGCUCUGGGCCGCUGGGUCGGGACCAGGAUAACGAGGUGAGAAAACGUGACAGGAGGCGCUGUCCCCGUGGCACAGAGGCGGGUCUGAAGUUCGGGGACGCCGCCCGGGGUGCCCCGCGCAGGCCCAGGAGAGGGUCCGAAGUGCCCGCGUCCCGCCUGUCCCCGCCCCGCUGCCUCCACAGAGUCCGAUGGCGGCGCCGGCGUUGGGGGACCCACCUCAGGUUGAAAAGCUCCAUUUAGCAUUUCUGGUUGCUGCUGUGGAGCAGAGGCACUCUUUCAACGAAGCAUUUCUAUAAGCAUGUCACUGGCCAGGACUCCUAAGGCACCUUCGUUUUCCAAGAAGAAUCACUCCAGUGAGACGUGUAGUCUGGUCUUGCAAAGUAUUUUUCACUUGGCUGAGCGUGAAGAAACACAACACAAUCAGAAAGUGUUCCCGUGUAGAAUAUGUUUGAAGCGAUUUCAUUUUAGUGCAAACCUCCAAAAACACCAGAAGCAGCACAUGGAAGAGAAAUCCUUCAGUAAUGCUGCAGUCAGGGCCUUGUUUGUGAAGAGCUGCAAAUGCCAUGUGUGAAGGAAGACCUUUACCUGUGAGGAAGUUGGGAAAGACUUUCUGGCCACCUUGGGACAUCUCCAGCAACAGACCACUCACACCAGGGAGAAGCCAAAAAAGAUUGCCCAGCGUGAGGCAACUUUACAAAGCAGAGAAGUCAUUACAGCUGGGGAGAAUGCAAGAAAGCCUUCAGCCUGAAACAUGCAAUUGUUCAGGACUAGGGUGUCCACCCUGGAAGACACUGUUCUGUGUGCAGUGAAUGUGGGAAGACAUUCAGGUACAAAUCCUCAUUUGUUGUGCACCAGAGAGUGCAUACUGGAGAAAGGCUUCACGUGUGUGGUGAGUCUGGCAAAUCUUUCAGGCAAACCUCAACCCUCAAUCUGCAUCGAAGAAUUCACACUGAAACAGUGCAGUACAAGUGCAGCAAAUGUGGGAAAUCCUUUAACCAAAACUUUGUGCUUAUUUAUCCCUGGAGAAGACACAUUGGAGAAAAUUAUUACCUGUGCAGUGAAUGUGCACAGUUUCCUAGCUGUAGAUCCAUCAUAGUUCAAGAACAGACAUUUCACACUGGAGAAAGGCGUUAUGAGUGUACUCAAUGUGGGAUAUCUUUUAGAUGAAAAUUUUACCUAAUUGUACACUGGAGAGUUCACACAAGAGAAAGGCCUUUUGAGUGCAGUGAGCAUUGGAAAUCCUUUAGUCAUCAAUCUUACCUCACUCAACACUGAAAUGUUCAUAGUGGAAAAAGGCCUUAUGAAUGCAGUGAAUGUGGGAAAUCUUAUACUUCUCACCCUGGCCUCUAUUAUCUUUAGAGAGAUCACACAGGAGAAAGGCCUUAUAAGUUUAGAGAGUGUGGGAAAUCUUUUACCAGUAGGAGGAACCUUCGUUAUCAUCAGGGAGUUCAUACUGAGUGCAGUGAAUGUGGGAAAUCUUUUCCAUCUAGGUCCGGCCUCUGUUAUCAUCAGAGAGUUCACACAGGAUUGAGGCCAUAUGAGUGUAGUGUGUAUGGGAAGUCUUUUUCCAAGAGCUCUGUGAUUACUGAACAUCAGAGAGUUCACACUGGAUAUAGGCCUUAUCAGCGCCGUGAAUGUGGGAAGUCUUUUUUCUCUGGUUUCAACAUCAAUAAUCAUCAGAGAGUUCACACAGCAGAAAGGCCUUAUGGGUGCAGUGAAUGUGGGAAAUGUUUUCCCUGUAAUUCCAUCCUUCAUGAACAUCAGAGAAUUCACACAAGCAAAAGGCCUUAUGAGCACACGGAACGUAGGCAGUCCUUUAGAGCAAAUUCUUCUCUCCUUGCACACUGUAGAGGUCACACUGCAGAGAAGCCUUAUAAAUGCAGUGAAUGUGGGAAAUCUUUUUCAUCUAGGUCUGGUUUCCAUUAUCAUCAGAGUUCACAAAGGAUCAGGGCCAUAUGAGGCUAGUGAAUGUGGGAAAUCUUUUCCCCAGAGCUCUGCACUCCUUCAACAUCCGUGUUCAUAGAGCUGAAAGGCCUUAAAUGUGUGGUGAAUGUUGGAAAUCCUUUACCACUAGUUCCCCCCUUUGUUAUAAUCAGAGAUUUCACCAGCAAAGCCUUAUUCGUGCAGGGAAUUUGAGAAACUUUCCUAAAUAAUUCAACUUAUUAUACAUGGUAGAAUUUGCACUGGAGAAAGGACUUGAAUGUGCAAGGAAAUGUGUAAUUUUCUUGUUCAGGGUAACGACACUGGAAGAAACUGAGGAGCCACCCAUCUGAAUUCAAUCUCAUACAUCCAGUUGUCCACAGGGGGAGAUACCCCUUACGUUUAAGUUAUGUGGGAAGCAUUUGUGGCUGUAUUGCACUUUGUAACCUGUCCAGGGCUUUUCCCAGAUUUAUGUCACUGUCUGUUUCUGUGGCUGUUUUACCUGUGUCGCCUGGCAGGUCCACACAGUGUGCAUCAGUCAUCAGCCCAGUGCACUCAGGGAAACUGACCUCUGUUCUUCCAAAUGUUGGAGCAAACUAGGAGUAGUUCAGUCCCUUUGGGGUUGGUGUUCCCCUCUCUCUGACUGCGUGUACAAAAGCCUGAAGGAAUGUUGGCCCAGAGAACAUAAGAAUUCAGCUGACCAUGUGCAGAGAAGGACAACCCUUUUCAGGGACAUGUUCUCACAUGAUCAGUUUUUCCAGCUAGCAAGUCACCAACCCAAACUGUGUGCCACACAUUGUUUUGGUUUGUAUAAUACGGGUGGCUUACUGUUUAAGGCCUGUUUUGUUUUGGGAGUUCUGUGCACUGCAGGAGGUUUUUUAUAAGGAGAUUUGGGCUCCACAGGCAUAGGCCUCAGGGAGGAUAGUAUGAUGGCAAAAAUUGGCUUGCCGUCUUUUUGGCCAAAUUUGCAUUGGUGCCGGUGAAGUCGUAGGAGAGAGGGCAGGGCUUUCUGGUCCUCAUUUGAAGCCUGGAUGCUAUGAGUUUUAGGAGACUCAGGCAUCACCGUGAAGAGGAGUGAGAUGUGACAACCUCAAGUUCUUGGAGCAGCAUGAAUUUUUUCCCGUGUUCACAGGGCGUAUCACGAGAGAUGUCAGCACUGUUGAGAGGGCUCUCCUCCAUUGGUUUUGCAAAGAGCAUGUGCCCUGAUGUCCACAAUUCCAUGGGUGACAGUCACUGGCUGUAAGACUAUAGGGGUCAGGGGAAACUGAAACUGAUACAGAAACUGGGUUAGUAGGGAGCAGAGGAGACAGCAGCUAGCUCAUUGGAAUGUGCCUCUUCUAAAAGUGCAUCCACAGAUGUCUUUGUGACAGUGACCAAUGUGCAGGAUCAGCGUGUACACAAAUCUCAGGACUUACAGGCAUGUUUAUGUUGUGUAGCUGAGGUCAUUGUCAGAGAGAAAAUUGGAACGUUCUGUGGAUUUUUGUAGCCUACCUGAAGUGUUUGCCUCAAGGCCAUUGUUGCACAGGCAGGAAACGAAAGGUAAAGAAAAGUAGUCUAGGGAUGUGGCUCUUGUGAGCCAGCCAGAAUUCCUGUUGACUGAAGUGGAAAUGUCUUUUAUUACUCGCCAGUAUUUGCUGCCACUGAGGCAAGAUGACACCCAUAGGGCAUGACUAGAAAGGUGGUGAAGCUAGUAUAGUGUUGCCAAAUCUGUUUUCCAAAAAAGUGGGACGUACAGAUUUUCUUAGCUUGAAGUGUUUUUUAAAGCUUUAUUUAGGUGUAAUAUACAUGUAGAAAACUGUACAUUUUUAAAGUGAAGUAUUUGAUAAGUUUUGACAUACACAUGAUACCUGUGAAAACAUCAUCAGUCAUGGUAAUGACCAUAUGUGUCACCAUGUAUUUGCCUGAUUUCCUUUUAUGAUCUGUCCCUGCCCUUCACAGCCCUCCAAGAACCAUUGAUUUAUUUUCCCUUGUAAUAGAUAUCUUUACGAUUUCUAUAAUUUACAUGAUGAAAUCCUAAAACGUUUACUUUUGUUUUCUCCUGGUUUUGUGUUUUGUAAUUAUUUUGAGAUUCAUCAAUGAUGUUAAAUGAGGAGCUCUUUUUUUUUUCUGUGUUUUUGAGUAAUAUUCUUACCAUUAGAUAUAACAGUAUAUAUCCAUUCACCUGUUUAUAGCUAUUUGGGAUAAUUCCAGGUUUUGACUGUUGAAAAUAAACUAGUGCAAGUGUUUGUGUAC
rnacentral:lncRNA from 1 species